rnacentral:rRNA from 1 species
GAUGAACGCUGGCGGCGUGCCUAAUACAUGCAAGUCGAGCGAACGGACGAGAAGCUUGCUUCUCUGAUGUUAGCGGCGGACGGGUGAGUAACACGUGGAUAACCUACCUAUAAGACUGGGAUAACUUCGGGAAACCGGAGCUAAUACCGGAUAAUAUUUUGAACCGCAUGGUUCAAAAGUGAAAGACGGUCUUGCUGUCACUUAUAGAUGGAUCCGCGCUGCAUUAGCUAGUUGGUAAGGUAACGGCUUACCAAGGCAACGAUGCAUAGCCGACGUGAGAGGGUGGUCGGCGACACUGGAGCUUGGACGCGGUCCAGGCUCCUACGGGAGGCAGCAGUAGGGAAUGGUCCGCAGUAGGGGAAAGCCUGGCGGAGCAGCGCCGCGUGAGUGGUGGAGAUCUUGGGAUCGUGAUGCUCUGUUAUGGGGGAAAAACAUAUGUGUAAGUAGCUGUAGACAGCGUGACGGUACCUGGUCAGGAAGCCACGGCUAACUACGUG